AACGUAGGGGACAAGCGUUAUCCGGAUUUACUGGGCGUAAAGCGCCCGUAGGCGGCCUGACAAGUUGGACGUGAAAGCUCCUGGCUUAACUGGGAGAGGCCGUUCAAAACUGUCAAGCUAGAGUCUGGAAGAGGAGAGCGGAAUUCCCGGUGUAGUGGUGGAAUGCGUAGAGAUCGGGAGGAACACCAGUGGCGAAAGCGGCUCUCUGGUCCAAAACUGACGCUGAGGGGCGAAAGCGUGGGGAGCGAACGGG
rnacentral:rRNA from 2 species